UGUCUGGAGUCCCAUGCAGACCAGACCAGAUCCCAGUGAUCAGUGCCAAAGCCCCAUUGCCUGUGGAGAGGGUGAUGUUUGAUUUCCCUGUCCAGCUGCAGUUCAUGUGGUGAAGGUGCUCCCACAAUGUGGUUGGGUGGACAUUCAGAUGGUAAUCUCAGUAAUUGUAACGCCAAACUGUGACAAAAUUACUCAAUUCAUCAGGAGCUGGAUAUUCACAUUGUGUGGUGCUAGACGGUGAAGAUUUGCAGACUGAAAUCUCAAAAUCAUGUGCAGAUUGUGAUUAAGUUGCCUAGUGCUUAAAGAACCAAAGAUGGAGAAUGACUCUGCCAAAAUCCUGCAACACUCUCCCUCCCAGCAUUGUCAGUCUAUCUAUGCCAAAUGGACUGCGAAUGGUUCA